UACGAAGGGGGCUAGCGUUGCUCGGAAUCACUGGGCGUAAAGGGUGCGUAGGCGGGUCUUUAAGUCAGGGGUGAAAUCCUGGAGCUCAACUCCAGAACUGCCUUUGAUACUGAAGAAUCUUGAGUUCGGGAGAGGUGAGUGGAACUGCGAGUGUAGAGGUGAAAUUCGUAGAUAUUCGCAAGAACACCAGUGGCGAAGGCGGCUCACUGGCCCGAUACUGACGCUGAGGCACGAAAGCGUGGGGAGCAAACAGG
rnacentral:rRNA from 1 species